rnacentral:rRNA from 1 species
GAUGAACGCUGGCGGCGUGCCUAAUACAUGCAAGUCGAGCGAACAGACGAGGAGCUUUCUCCUCUGACGUUAGCGGCGGACGGGUGAGUAACACGUGGAUAACCUACCUAUAAGACUGGGAUAACUUCGGGAAACCGGAGCUAAUACCGGAUAAUAUAUUGAACCGCAUGGUUCAAUAGUGAAAGACGGUUUUGCUUUCACUUAUAGAUGGAUCCGCGCCGCAUUAGCUAGUUGGUAAGGUAACGGCUUACCCAGGCAACGAUGCGUAGCCGACCUGAGCGGGUGAAUGGCUACCUGGGAACUGAGACACGGCCCAGACUCUUACGGUGGGCAGCAGUAGGGAAUCUUACGCAAUGGGCGAAAGCCUGACGGAGCAACGCCGCGUGAGUGAUGAAGGUCUUCGGAUCGGAAAACUCUGUUAUUAGGGAAGAACAAAUGUGUAAGUACCCAUGCACGUCUUGACGGUACCUAAUCAGAAAGCCACGGCUAACUACGUG